GCCAGCCCCUUACGGGGCGACACUCCACCAUGAUCACUCCCCUGUGAGGAACUACUGUCUUCACGCAGAAAGCGUCUAGCCAUGGCGUUAGUAUGAGUGUCGUGCAGCCUCCAGGACCCCCCCUCCCGGGAGAGCCAUAGUGGUCUGCGGAACCGGUGAGUACACCGGAAUUGCCAGGACGACCGGGUCCUUUCUUGGAUCAACCCGCUCAAUGCCUGGAGAUUUGGGCGUGCCCCCGCGAGACUGCUAGCCGAGUAGUGUUGGGUCGCGAAAGGCCUUGUGGUACUGCCUGAUAGGGUGCUUGCGAGUGCCCCGGGAGGUCUCGUAGACCGUGCAUCAUGAGCACAAAUCCAAAACCCCAAAGACAAACCAAAAGAAACACCAACCGUCGCCCACAGGACGUCAAGUUCCCGGGCGGUGGUCAGAUCGUGGGUGGAGUAUACUUGUUGCCGCGCAGGGGCCCUCGAUUGGGUGUGCGCGCGACUAGGAAGACUUCCGAACGGUCCCAGCCCAGAGGCAGGCGUCAGCCCAUUCCAAAGGCUCGCCGCCAGACGGGCCGUGCCUGGGGUCAGCCUGGGUACGCAUGGCCCCUGUAUGGGAAUGAGGGCUGCGGGUGGGCAGGGUGGCUCCUGUCCCCCCGCGGCUCUCGCCCAACGUGGGGCCCAAACGACCCCCGGCGUAGGUCUCGCAACUUGGGUAAGGUCAUCGAUACCCUUACUUGCGGCCUCGCCGACCUCAUGGGGUACAUCCCCGUCAUAGGCGGCCCCUUAGGGGGCGUCGCAGCAGCUCUGGCGCAUGGCGUCAGGGCUGUUGAGGACGGGGUAAAUUAUGCAACAGGGAAUCUUCCCGGUUGCUCCUUUUCUAUCUUCCUUCUGGCACUUCUUUCGUGCCUAACUGUACCAGCCUCGGCAGUCAAUUAUGCCAAUAAGAGCGGCAUCUACCAUCUUACCAAUGACUGCCCAAACAGCAGCAUGGUGUACGAGGCCGAGGCAAUCAUCCUGCACCUUCCAGGGUGCGUUCCGUGCAUCAGGACCGGAAAUCAGUCCAGGUGCUGGACACCGGCGACGCCCACUCUUGCCAUCCCAAAUUCAACUGUGCCUGCUAGCGGGUUCCGCCAGCACAUCGACCUCAUGGUUGGCGCUGCCGCACUCUGUUCGGCUAUGUAUUUGGGCGAUUUGUGCGGAGGAGUCUUCCUGGUAGGGCAACUCUUCACUUUUCGACCCCGCAUACAUCAGACUGUGCAGGACUGCAAUUGCUCCAUCUACACCGGCCAUGUUACGGGGCACAGGAUGGCGUGGGACAUGAUGAUGAAUUGGUCGCCAACCGCUACAUUCGUGGUCUCCAGCGCUCUACGGGCGCCACAGGUCUUGUUUGACAUCUUUGCGGGCGGCCAUUGGGGUAUCAUAGGGGCGUUGCUGUACUACAGCACGGCCGCUAAUUGGGCUAAGGUCAUCAUAGUCCUACUCCUGUUCGCAGGAGUUGAUGCCUCCACCUACGUUGCCAGUUCAGUCAGCCAAGCCACGUCUGGUCUCGUGAGCCUGUUCUCCGCUGGUGCCCGGCAGAAUCUCCAGCUUAUCAACACCAACGGAAGCUGGCAUAUCAACAGGACCGCGCUUAACUGUAACGACUCAUUACAGACUGGUUUCAUCGCGAGCUUGUUCUACCGCAACAAAUUUAAUGCCACUGGUUGCCCAGAAAGAUUGUCCGCGUGUAAGACCUUGGACUCUUUCGAUCAAGGUUGGGGCCCCAUUACGUAUGCCAACAUCAGUGGUCCCGCUGUGGAAAAGCCUUACUGCUGGCACUACCCGCCUAGACCAUGUGAGGUUGUGUCAGCUCUUAAUGUCUGUGGUCCUGUCUACUGCUUUACACCAAGCCCUGUGGUACUUGGCACCACCGAUAGGAGGGGCAACCCUACCUACACCUGGGGGGCCAAUGAAACCGACGUCUUUAUGAUGUCGAGCUUGCGACCCCCAGCGGGAGGGUGGUAUGGGUGCACAUGGAUGAAUACUUCGGGGUUUGUUAAGACAUGCGGCGCUCCGCCGUGCAACAUCAGGCCCAACCCCGAGGAGAACAGGACCGAAACGCUGCGAUGUCCUACCGAUUGCUUCCGGAAGCACCCGGGCGCCACUUAUGCAAAAUGUGGGUCGGGGCCGUGGCUCACCCCUAGGUGUUUGGUGGACUACCCUUAUAGACUGUGGCACUAUCCUUGCACUGUGAACUAUACCCUACACAAGGUCAGGAUGUACAUAGCUGGCAGUGAGCAUAGGUUCACGGCUGCCUGCAACUGGACCAGGGGGGAACGGUGCGAUUUGGCAGAUCGCGACAGGAUUGAGAUGAGCCCGCUGUUGUUCUCCACCACCGAACUUGCUAUCCUGCCGUGCUCAUUUACAACAAUGCCAGCUCUGUCCACCGGCCUGAUACAUCUACACCAGAACGUGGUGGAUGUCCAAUACUUGUAUGGGCUCUCGACUUCCAUCGUUAAUUGGGCCAUCAAGUGGGAGUAUGUUGUCCUCCUAUUCCUGGUGCUGGCAGAUUCUCGCAUUUGUCUGGCUCUUUGGCUGAUGCUGCUCAUAGGUCAGGCCGAGGCGGCGCUAGAGAACCUAAUAGUCCUCAACGCCGCUUCGGCCGCAGCCACUCGUGGCUGGGAGUGCUUCCUGCUCUUCAUGUGCUGGGCGUGGUAUGUGCGGGGUCGCGUUGUCCCUGCUGUCACAUAUGGCCUCCUCAACCUAUGGCCACUACUACUGCUGGUCCUAUUGUUACCCCAUCGGGCGUACGCCUACGACGGCGUUCAGGCCGGGUCGAUCGGCGCUGCGGUUAUAGCCGCCCUGACCAUCUUCAGCCUCACACCAGCAUACAAGACUCUGCUAGCACAUUUCCUGUGGUGGACCCAGUACUUCAUAGCACACAUUGAAGCCAAGCUACAUGUUUGGGUCCCCUUCCUCCGGGUGCGCGGGGGCCGUGACGCCAUCAUCCUGCUCACGUGUGUUUUCCACCCAAGCCUGGGUUUUGAGGUAACAAAGAUCUUACUAGCAUUGAUAGGACCGCUGUACCUCCUGCACGCCAGCCUCCUGCGGGUGCCAUACUACGUACGUGCACAUGCGCUCAUUCGCAUAUGCGCGCUUGUGCAGAACGUAGCAGGGGGAAAGUACGUUCAAGCGGCAAUCUUGAGAGCUGGAUCUUGGACGGGCACCUACAUCUAUGACCACCUGGUCCCUCUACGCACCUGGGCCAGCGACGGCCUACGUGAUCUUGCUGUCGCAGUGGAACCCGUCGUCUUUUCGCCUAUGGAGAAGAAAGUUAUCACGUGGGGGGCGGACACUGCAGCCUGCGGGGACAUUCUCGCAGGUCUCCCUGUUUCCGCCAGACGAGGCAACUUGAUCCUUCUCGGACCCGCUGAUGACGUUAAGGACAAGGGUUGGUCAUUGCUUGCUCCAAUUACAGCCUACGCCCAACAGACGCGCGGGUUGCUGGGUACAAUAGUUACCAGCCUCACCGGCCGUGACAAGAAUGAGGCAGCUGGCGAGAUACAAAUCCUCUCAACGGCCACUCAAACUUUCCUGGCAACCUGUGUUAACGGUGUGUGCUGGACUGUCUACCAUGGUGCAGGGUCGAAGACCUUGGCAGGGCCCAGGGGGCCCGUCUGCCAGAUGUACACUAAUGUAGAUCAAGACAUGGUUGGCUGGCCUGCUCCGGCAGGCACCAGGUCGUACACGCCUUGCACAUGUGGCGCAAGUGACCUCUACCUCAUCACGCGGCAAGCUGAUGUCAUCCCAGCACGUCGUCGCGGCGAUAAUCGAGCCGGUCUUAUCAGCCCACGGCCGAUAUCCACUCUCAAGGGGUCGUCAGGAGGCCCGCUGCUUUGUCCAUCAGGCCAUGUGGUCGGGCUGUUUCGCGCAGCUGUCUGCACCCGUGGUGUUGCCAAGGCGCUUGAUUUUGUGCCUUGUGAGGCCAUGGACGCGACCACGCGGUCUCCCACCUUCACUGACAACUCCACACCGCCAGCUGUGCCUCAGGCCUACCAAGUUGGCUACCUCCAUGCUCCUACGGGUAGUGGGAAAAGCACGAAGGUCCCCGUAGCCUAUGCCUCCCAGGGGUACAAGGUGCUCGUGCUUAACCCGUCGGUGGCUGCAACCCUGUCCUUUGGUUCAUACCUCAGCAGAGCCCACGGCAUUGACCCUAACAUCAGGACUGGGGUUAGGACUAUCACCACUGGUGCGCCCAUCACUUACUCCACUUAUGGCAAAUUUUUGGCGGACGGGGGCUGCUCAGGGGGCGCCUACGACGUCAUCAUUUGUGACGAGUGCCACUCUACAGAUCCCACUACAGUCCUGGGAAUAGGUACCGUGCUCGACCAGGCGGAGACAGCAGGCUGCCGCCUUACGGUGUUAGCCACAGCCACACCGCCUGGCUCUGUUACGGUCCCUCACCCAAACAUACAGGAGACGGCACUUCCCCUAACGGGAGAGGUGCCGUUUUAUGGGAAGGCCAUCCCUCUAGAAUACAUCAAGGGGGGUAGGCAUUUAAUAUUUUGUCACUCAAAAAAGAAAUGCGACGAGCUAGCGGCCCAACUGAGAACUCUGGGCCUCAAUGCCGUCGCUUUCUACAGAGGCGUGGACGUCUCCGUCAUCCCCACCUCGGGUGACGUAGUCGUCUGUGCCACAGAUGCUCUCAUGACAGGGUAUACGGGCGAUUUCGACAGCGUGAUCGAUUGCAACGUUGCAGUCACGCAGAUCGUUGACUUCAGCCUGGAUCCCACCUUCUCGAUUGAGACUACUACUGUUCCCCAAGAUGCAGUGGCCCGCAGUCAACGUCGUGGCCGGACUGGUAGGGGGAAGCCUGGGGUGUAUAGAUAUGUCUCACAAGGAGAACGGCCGUCGGGAAUGUUCGACACGGUUGUCCUCUGUGAGGCCUAUGAUACCGGAGCUGCGUGGUACGAGCUAACACCCGCAGAAACCACUGUCAGACUCCGUGCUUACCUCAACACCCCCGGACUCCCCGUAUGCCAGGAUCAUCUAGAGUUCUGGGAGGCAGUUUUCACUGGACUUACACAUAUAGACGCCCACUUCCUUUCCCAAACAAAACAAGGAGGGGAGAACUUCGCGUACCUGGUAGCCUACCAGGCUACCGUCUGCGCGAGAGCCAAAGCUCCCCCCCCCUCAUGGGACACGAUGUGGAAGUGUCUACUCAGGCUUAAGCCCACCCUGACCGGACCUACUCCUCUGUUGUAUAGGCUGGGUGCUGUUCAAAAUGAGGUUACACCAACCCAUCCUGUUACCAAGUACAUCAUGGCCUGCAUGUCUGCCGAUCUGGAGGUCAUCACCAGCACCUGGGUGGUAGCCGGUGGCAUCCUCGCUGCAAUAGCUGCUUACUGUUUAACAGUGGGUAGCGUUGUCAUCUGCGGGAGGAUCACCACGUCUAGCAGGCCUGCAGUCAUACCUGACAGGGAGGUGAUGUAUCAGCAGUAUGACGAGAUGGAAGAAUGCUCUCGGCACCUCCCUUACCUGGUUGAAGGACAGCAAUUAGCUGAGCAAUUCAAACAAAAUGUGCUCGGCUUGAUCCAGGUCACGACGAAGCAGGCGGAAGAACUUAAACCAGCCGUCCACUCUGCUUGGCCUAAGCUCGAACAGUUUUGGUAUAAGCAUAUGUGGAACUUCAUAAGUGGUAUACAAUAUCUGGCCGGCUUGUCCACUUUGCCUGGUAACCCUGCUGUCGCAGCUCUGAUGUCAUUCUCAGCCUCCUUAACCAGCCCACUGACAACAGCGCAAACCCUCCUCCUCAACGUGUUGGGGGGGUGGGUAGCAUCUCAACUGGCCACUCCGGUCCCAGCUACAGCUUUUGUGGUUAGCGGCUUAGCCGGCGCUGCUAUUGGUAGCAUAGGACUGGGUAAGGUCAUUGUGGACAUCCUGGCUGGAUAUGGCGCUGGUGUGUCGGGAGCCCUCGUAGCCUUUAAAAUCAUGAGCGGCGAGACUCCGUCAGUCGAGGACAUGGUGAACCUACUCCCCGCCCUUCUGUCACCAGGGGCACUGGUAGUGGGGGUUGUUCGUGCUGCCAUUUUGCGGCGCCACGUGGGCCCCAGCGAAGGAGCUGCCCAGUGGAUGAACCGCUUGAUAGCUUUCGCGUCACGGGGCAAUCACGUGUCGCCUACACACUAUGUGCCUGAGACAGAUGCAUCUCGGGCAGUGACCAACAUACUUAGUUCCCUUACCAUCACUAGUCUCUUGCGUAAACUCCAUCACUGGAUUACCGAGGACUAUGCCACACCAUGUGGGUCAACAUGGCUUAGAGACAUCUGGGACUGGGUGUGUACUGUCCUGUCAGACUUUAGAGUUUGGCUUAAAUCCAAGCUCAUGCCCAGCCUCCCAGGGGUCCCCUUUUUCUCGUGUCAGCGAGGCUACAGGGGGACCUGGAGAGGCGAUGGGAUUUGCAACACUACGUGCCCCUGCGGUGCCAGCAUUGCGGGCCAUGUUAAGAACGGGACUAUGAGAAUAGUCGGACCCCGCACCUGCAGCAACGUAUGGAAUGGCACUUUCCCCAUUAAUGCGACGACGACCGGUCCAAGCAUACCCAUCCCGGCGCCAAACUACAAAAAAGCGCUGUGGAGGGUAAGUGCUACUGAAUACGUCGAAGUCGUACGGGUGGGAGACUCCCAUUACAUCACAGGGGUUACAGCUGAGAACACCAAGUGCCCCUGUCAGGUGCCGGCUCCAGAGUUCUUCACGGAGGUGGAUGGCGUGAGGUUACACAGGUACGCCCCAGAAUGCAAGCCCAUCCUUAGGGAUGAGGUAACGUUCACUGUGGGGCUGUCCACUUACGUGGUGGGGUCACAAUUACCCUGUGAGCCUGAGCCAGACGUGCUGGUGGUGACAUCAAUGUUAAGGGACCCUGACCACAUCACCGCAGAGGAGGCAUCUCGCCGCCUUAAGAGGGGAUCUCCACCAUCCCUAGCCAGCUCAUCUGCCAGUCAGUUGUCAGCUCCGUCUCUCAAGGCUACAUGCACCACUCACGCCGACCAUCCGGACGCUGAACUCGUGGAAGCAAAUCUCUUAUGGAGGCAGGAAAUGGGGGGAAACAUCACGAGGGUGGAGUCAGAAAAUAAGAUCGUCAUUUUAGACUCCUUUGAGCCACUCAAAGCGGAGUUUGACGACAGGGAGAUUUCGGUGGCGGCGGAAUGCCACAGGCCGCCGAGGUUCAAGUAUCCUCCUGCUCUUCCCGUGUGGGCUCGACCUGAUUAUAACCCGCCUUUACUUGAGACCUGGAAGGCACCAGAUUAUGACCCUCCGGUAGUGUCCGGGUGCGCUCUUCCCCCACAGGGGCUUCCUCCUGUUCCACCCCCAAGGAGGAAGAAGCUCGUACAGCUGGAUGACUCAGUCGUGGGACAUGUACUGGCUCAGCUAGCUGAAAAGAGUUUCCCAGCCACACCGGACCAACCCCAAACCAAUUCAGACUCUGGUCACGGCACUAACGGCGCUGCGUCGCUACCAUCAGCUGAAGAUGACGAUGCCUCAGAUGCAGACUCGUAUAGUUCUAUGCCGCCUCUUGAGGGCGAGCCUGGCGAUCCUGACCUCUCCGAUGGGGGAGGUUCGGGGUCGUGGUCUACGGUCAGCUCUGAGGAAACCAGCGUCGUUUGCUGUUCGAUGUCAUACUCAUGGACGGGGGCUCUCAUCACUCCAUGCGCUGCUGAGGAGGAAAAGUUGCCAAUUAGUCCUUUGAGCAACACUCUGAUCCGACACCAUAAUAUGGUUUACUCCACUACAUCACGUAGCGCAGCUCUCCGCCAGAAAAAAGUAACCUUUGACAGACAGCAGGUCGUUGACCAACAUUAUUAUGACACCCUUAAGGAGAUGAAGGCCCGGGCGUCGACUGUGAGCGCAAAGUUGCUCAGCGUUGAGGAAGCAUGCGACCUCACGCCAGCUCACUCUGCCCGUUCCAAGUUUGGAUACGGUGCGAAGGACGUCCGAGGCCGCACUAGCAAAGCCCUUAACCACAUCAACUCCGUGUGGGAGGAUCUGCUAGAAGACAAUGUGACACCUAUUCCUACUACUAUAAUGGCAAAGAAUGAGGUGUUUUGUGUGGACGUCUCAAAGGGGGGUCGUAAGCCGGCCCGGCUGAUCGUGUACCCGGACCUGAGUGUCCGGGUCUGCGAGAAAAGGGCCCUGUACGACGUCACACGCAAAUUGCCCGUAGCCGUGAUGGGAGCAGCAUAUGGCUUCCAGUACUCACCCAGUCAACGGGUAGAGUACCUCCUCAAGAUUUGGCGCUCGAAGAAGACACCUAUGGGGUUCUCCUAUGAUACCAGGUGUUUUGAUUCAACAGUGACUGAGCGUGACAUCCGGACAGAGGAGUCUAUAUACCAAUGCUGCGAGUUAGACCCCGUGGCCCGGAAGGCCAUCUCAUCACUCACCGAGCGGUUAUACGUGGGAGGCCCUAUGUACAAUUCACAGGGUCAAUCCUGCGGCUACCGCCGGUGUAGGGCCAGCGGGGUCCUCCCCACGAGCAUGGGCAACACACUGACUUGCUAUUUAAAGGCCAUGGCGGCUUGUAAGGCUGCUGGCCUCAAAAACUUUGACAUGUUGGUCUGCGGAGACGAUUUGGUGGUCAUCUCUGAGAGUUUGGGGGUCUCGGAGGACGCCAGUGCCCUGCGAGCGUUUACGGACGCUAUGACCAGGUACUCGGCGCCUCCUGGAGACGAACCGCACCCGGAGUAUGACUUGGAGCAUAUUACAUCCUGCUCAUCCAACGUAUCCGUGGCCCACGACCACACCGGACAGAGAUAUUACUACCUCACCCGUGAUCCGACCAAUGUCCUAGCCCGGGCUGCUUGGGAAACUGCUCGACACACUCCCGUGAAUUCCUGGUUGGGCAACAUCAUUAUGUACGCGCCCACUAUAUGGGUGCGUAUGGUGCUGAUGACGCACUUCUUUGGGAUACUCCAGCCUCAAGAGCAGCUCCACAAAGCACUCGACUUUGACAUGUACGGGGUCACGUACAAUAUCACUCCACUUGAUCUACCCCAGAUCAUUCAGCGCCUCCAUGGCAUGGCUGCCUUUUCACUCCAUGGUUACUCUCCAGGUGAGCUCAAUAGGGUUGGAGCGUGCCUCAGGAAACUUGGGGCCCCUCCCUUGCGGGCCUGGAGACAUCGGGCUAGGGCAGUCCGAGCUAAGCUUAUCGCCCAGGGUGGGAAAGCUGCUAUAUGCGGCAUGUACCUCUUCAACUGGGCCGUAAAAACUAAGCUCAAACUCACUCCAUUGCGCGACGCUCACCGCCUCGACUUAUCUGGGUGGUUUGUGGCGGGCUACAGCGGGGGGGACAUAUUUCACAGCGUGUCCCAUGCCCGACCCCGCGUAUUACUCCUGUGCCUACUCCUACUUACAGUAGGGGUAGGCAUCUUUUUUCUCCCCCCCCGAUAAACGGGCGGCCUCAAGCAACACUCCAUUUGCCCUUUUUUUUUUUUUUUUUUUUUU
rnacentral:misc_RNA from 1 species